rnacentral:snRNA from 1 species
AUACUUACCUGGCAGGGGAGAUACCAUGAUCACAAAGGUGGUUGUUCCAGGGCGAGGCUUAGCCAUUGCACUCUGGAUGUGCUGAGUCCUGUGAUUUCCCCAAAUGUGGGAAACUCAACUGCUUUAAA